rnacentral:rRNA from 1 species
GAUGAACGCUGGCGGCGUGCCUAAUACAUGCAGGUCGAGCGAACGGACGAGAAGCUUGCUUCUCUGAUGUUAGCGGCGGACGGGUGAGUAACACGUGGAUAACCUACCUAUAAGACUGGGAUAACUUCGGGAAACCGGAGCUAAUACCGGAUAAUAUUUUGAACUGCAUGGUUCAAAAGUGAAAGACGGUCUUGCUGUCACUUAUAGAUGGAUCCGCGCUGCAUUAGCUAGUUGGUAAGGUAACGGCUUACCAAGGCAACGAUGCAUAGCCGACCUGAGAGGGUGAUCGGCCACACUGGAACUGAGACACGGUCCAGACUCCUACGGGAGGCAGCAGUAGGGAAUCUUCCGCAAUGGGCGAAAGCCUGACGGAGCAACGCCGCGUGAGUGAUGAAGGUCUUCGGAUCGUAAAACUCUGUUAUUAGGGAAGAACAUAUGUGUAAGUAACUGUGCACAUCUUGACGGUACCUAAUCAGAAAGCCACGGCUAACUACGUG